rnacentral:rRNA from 1 species
CCCAGUAAACGGCGGCCGUAACUAUAACGGUCCUAAGGUAGCGAAAUUCCUUGUCAGGUAAGUUCUGACCCGCACGAAAGGCGUAACGAUUUGGGCGCUGUCUCAGCUGUAGACUCGGUGAAGUCUUAGUACCUGUGAAGAUGCAGGUUACCCGCGACUAGACGGAAAGACCCCAUGGAGCUUUACUGUAGCUUGAUAUUGGACUUUGAUGCAGGAUGUACAGGAUAGGUAGGAGACUGAGAGACAUGCACGCCAGUGUGUGAGGAGUCGCUGUUGGGAUACUACUCUUCCUGUAUUGGAGUUCUAACCGGAUGCCAUAAGCUGGCAACGGGACAGUGUCAGGUGGGCAGUUUGACUGGGGCGGUCGCCUCCCAAAGAGUAACGGAGGCGCCCAAAGAUACCCUCAGCUUGGAUGGAAAUCAAGCGCAGAGUGCAAAGGCAAAAGGGUGUUUGACUGCGAGACCAACAAGUCGAGCAGGGACGAAAGUCGGGCUUAGUGAUCCGGCGGUGCUGAAUGGAAAGGCCGUCGCUCAACGGAUAAAAGCUACCCUGGGGAUAACAGGCUGAUCUCCCCCAAGAGUUCACAUCGACGGGGAGGUUUGGCACCUCGAUGUCGGCUCAUCGCAUCCUGGAGCUGAAGUCGGUUCCAAGGGUUGGGCUGUUCGCCCAUUAAAGCGGUACGCGAGCUGGGUUCAGAACGUCGUGAGACAGUUCGGUCCCUAUCUGUCGUGGGCGUAGGAAGUUUGAGAAGAUCUGUCCUCAGUACGAGAGGACCGGGAUGGACAUAUCAAUGGUGCACCAGUUGUCACGCCAGUGGCACAGCUGGGUAGCUAAAUAUGGAAGGGAUAAACGCUGAAGGCAUCUAAGUGUGAAACCCACUUCAAGAUGAGACUUCCCAUUACGCAAGUAGGUAAGACCCCUUAAAGACGAUAAGGUUGAUAGGUCAGGAGUGUAAGCAUGGUGACAUGUUCAGCGGACUGAUACUAAUAGGUCGAGGACUUAACCU